rnacentral:rRNA from 1 species
AGCGAACGCUGGCGGCAGGCUUAACACAUGCAAGUCGAGCGGGUGUAGCAAUACAUCAGCGGCAGACGGGUGAGUAACGCGUGGGAACGUACCUUUUAGUUCGGAACAACACAGGGAAACUUGUGCUAAUACCGGAUAAGCCCUUACGGGGAAAGAUUUAUCGCCGAAAGAUCGGCCCGCGUCUGAUUAGCUAGUUGGUAGGGUAACGGUCUACCAAGGCGACGAUCAGUAGCUGGUCUGAGAGGAUGAUCAGCCACAUUGGGACUGAGACACGGCCCAAACUCCUACGGGAGGCAGCAGUGGGGAAUAUUGGACAAUGGGGGCAACCCUGAUCCAGCCAUGCCGCGUGAGUGAUGAAGGCCCUAGGGUUGUAAAGCUCUUUUGUGCGGGAAGAUAAUGACGGUACCGCAAGAAUAAGCCCCGGCUAACUUCGUGCCAGCAGCCGCAGUAACAC